rnacentral:lncRNA from 1 species
UUAAAAUUUAAUCAUUAGUAAUUAUGUCACUACCUCCAUCUAUUGGAAAUAGCUGAGACUUAAGAUGCUGAAGAUUUCUAAGUAAUUUUGCCCUUCUGCACCAGAUAGUAUGAGCAACAAAUACCUCCAGUUGCCUUAAAGAUCUUUAUGUUCUCUUAAUAUUUCUUCUCCAUCUCUGCAUCGAAGUCCUAUAUUUACUGCUACAGAGGAAAUGAGAAUUCUCUGUUCUUUACUAGACAUUAUGUGAAAGACAUUACAUGAAAGAGAAUGAUAGAGGAAGAAACUGUGUUCUUGUUUAAAAGGUCUAAAGAUACAUAAGUUGGAAGUAAAUCCUAAAAUAAAAGUCUUUGAUAUGGAUGGAAAUUUCAUGAAUGAAUUUCUUUUCCUUUCCCCUUCCUCUUAAUGAAGAACACAAGUAAAAUUGCAGAUUCAAACACUUGAGUACUGAGGCAGGCAGGGGGUUGAUUAGAGUUCUUUAAUUAUAACUAAUGACAGAAACAACAUGGGCUCCUGUUUUGCCUGGAUGGCAUAGGAAUUGAGCCACUCAUACAAAUACAGCAUGUCUCCCCUUAUUCUCUUUAUGGCAGAUGAUACAAAACUGAUUCAAUAAACCAAGCUGCUGUUUGAAGUUCUCAAGAACAAGACCCUCAGUCUGUGCCCCGCUCUGUUCACUGGGUUCCUGGUGAACAUGAAAGGGCAUUGACAGGAAUGAAGCAGCAGCCUGCGUGCAGCUGUAUCAAAGGGAAGCGCAGGAUGGGUGAGUGCAGGCUCCU